CGGAGUCCGGGAACCUAGGCCGGCUCCCCGCGGGCCCUGGUCCCCUCCAGCACCCGCUGGGCCCGCAGCCUCUCCGGGACCCCUCCACGGCUCCCGGGGCGGGGCCUGAGCGGACGGCCCAGGACUUACCCCUUGGGAUUUGGCCCAGUGUGGAAAACUCUCACGUUACAACUCCAGAGGAGGCACCAUUUGGGAUGAAAUUCAGUAAGGAAAUUGAAGUCUUUAACCCACCCCUGGCUUCUGCAGCCUCUAGUGGGCCAUGGAUUCAUUCCGUCUUUGCUUUUACACACUCGUGGCCGAGGAAGACCUUGUUUAAAAGAGACUCUGCUGUAACACACCGCCUGUAUGGAGACAUUCAAGGGACUUCUGAGAAUGGAGUCAUUUUUCAGAAAUGUGCAGUGGUGUCUGUGCAGGGUGAGUGGCCAUCAGCCCACGUGCGACUGUUUGUGAACAAUACCAGGACACCCACGGCUGCCAACCUCUCCGACCUGCUCUUACUGGACAACAUUACUGGCCUCACUAUUAGGGAGUCAGCUGGAAACCAGACCUCAAGAGGCUUCCAGGCUUUCAGGAAGAAGUUUCUGCAAGUUGGAGACUCCUUCUCCGUCAGCUACACAGCUUCGCUUGAGGCCAGAGACGUCGGGAGUGGAGACAUCCUGCUGCUUCCUGCCCAGCUCUCCUUCCAGAGUUCGUCACUGAACAGAACCCAGCUAAAAGCCCCCUUCUCCAUAACAGCAGAAGAAAAGAUCAUGGUUCUGCCGAACCACGGCCUCCACGCAGCAGGGUUCUGUGUGGCCUUCAUCCUCUCCCUGGUGCUGACCUGGGCUGCGCUCUUCUUCAUGGUUCGAUACCAGUGUGUGAAGGGAAGCAUGCUUACCAGACAUCAGGUUCAGCAUCAUGAAAACAAGCUGGAGCACUCCCAGUUCACCUCAGCUGAUGGUGUGAAUGAGGAUCUCGCUCUCAAUGACCAAAUGAUAGACAUUCUGUCUUCUGAGGACCCUGGGAGCAUGCUUCAAGCCUUAGAAGAAUUGGAAAUUGCAACCUUGAAUCGGGCAGACUCAGAUCUGGAAGCUUGUCGAACUCAAAUCAGCAAAGAUAUCAUUACCCUUCUGCUGAAAAAUCUGACCAGCAGCGGCCAGCUCUCCCCUCAGGUGGAGAGGAGGAUGGGUGCUGUGUUCAGAAAGCAGUUUCUGUUGCUGGAGAAAGAAAUACAAGAGGAGUAUGAUCGGAAGAUGGUGGCUCUGACGGCCGAGUGUGACCUGGAAGCAAGAAAGAAGACAGAAAGCCAGUACCAGAGGGAGAUGGCAGCCAUGGAGGAAGCAGAAGAGGUGCUGAAACGUGUCAGUGAGAGGUCCGCCGUUGAGUGCAGCAGCCUCCUACGGACCCUCCAUGGCCUGGAGCAGGAACACCUGAGGAGGUCGCUCGCUCUGCAGCAGGAGGAGGACUUUGCCAAGGCCCACAGGCAGCUGGCCAUUUUCCAGAGGAACGAACUGCACAGUAUCUUUUUUACCCAGAUAAAAAGUGCUAUUUUCAAAGGAGAGCUGAAGCCAGAGGCAGCAAAAAUGCUGCUGCAAGAUUACUCUAAAAUACAGGAGAGUGUCGAAGAGUUAAUGGACUUUUUCCAGGCUAGUAAGAGAUAUCAUCUCAGUAAAAGAUUUGGCCACAGAGAGUACCUGGUCCAGAACAUCCAGUCAUCAGAGACCCGUGUGCAAGGCCUGCUGAGCACUGCGUCUACUCAGCUGACCCUCCUCAUCCAGAAACACGAGAGAGCAGGCUACUUGGAUGAAGAUCAGAUGCAAGUACUCUUGGAGCGGGCUCAAACAGAAGUCUUUUCUAUAAAACAGAAGUUGGACAACGACUUAAAGCAGGAGAAGAAAAAACUCCACCAAAAACUAAUAAUUAAGAGAAGACGAGAGAUGCUGCAAAAGCACAAGGAACAGCGGAGGGAGCAGCUGUCCAUUGCCGAAGCCUCCGGGGCCGCCGAGGAUGCCGGCCAGUACCUGGGCCAGUGGCGGGGCCUGAUGGCCGAGCAGAGCACCGCCCUGGAGGAGCUGCAGGAGCGCCUGGACCAGGCUGCCCUGGACGAGCUCAGGGCGCUGACCCUCUCGCUGUCCGAGAAAGCCACGGAGGAGCUGCGGCGUCUGCAGAACUCAGGGAUGACCCAGGAGCUGCUCAAGCGUGGGGUGCCUUGGCUCUUCCUGCAGCAGAUCCUGGAGGAGCACGGCAGGGACCUGGCGGCCCGGGCCGAGCGGCUGGAGGGUGAGGAGAGGGACCGGGGCCAGGAGGGCGUCCAGAGCGUCAGGCAGAGGCUGAAGGACGAUGCGCUGGAGGCCUCCAUGGAGGAGCAGGCGGAGCUGAGACACUGGGAACACUUGAUCUUCACGAAGCUCUGCUCCUCUGCCUUCUCCCUGUCCGAAGAGGAGCUGCUUGGGAUGAGGCAGGAAGUUCACGGCUGCUUCGCACAAAUGGACAGGAGCUUGGCCCUCCCCAAAAUCCGGGCCCGAGUCCUGCUGCAGCAGUUCCAGAUGGCUUGGCGAGAAGCAGAGUUCCUGAAACUGGACCAGGCCAUGGCCGCCCCUGAGCUGCAGCCACAGUCCAAGGCCAGAAAGCCACGCUCCAAGAGCAGAAGCAAGAUAGACCUUUUGAAGAAAUGCAUUGAAGAUAAAAUUCAGCUGUUCGAGGAACAGGCUCCCGAAGACCUGGUUGAAAAGGUCCGAGGAGAGUUGCUUCGGGAGAGAGUGCAGCAGCUGGAGGCCCAGGAGGGACGCUUUGCCGAGUCCCUCGUCUCCCUGCAGUUCCAGAAGGCGGCCAGGAUGGCCAGGACCCUGUGGGCGUAUACCGCCCUUCUGAGCAUCCAGGACCUGCUUCUGGAGGAGCUGAGCGCGUCGGAGACCCUGACCAAGUCGGCCUGCAUGCAGAUCCUGGAGUCACACAGCCCGGAGCUCCAGGAGCUGGAGAGAAAGCUGGAGGACCGGCUGGCACACCAGGAGGUGGCCCAGCUGCAGCGGGCCCUGGACAGUCGGCAGCAGUGGGCAGGCGAGGGACCUGGGCUUCUGCAGGAGCCGGAGGAGACGGAUUCUGAAAGGCAGGUCUCUGCUGUCCUGCGGCGAGCUCUGAGCAAGGGUCAGAAGCUACUGGAGCAUCACCAGCAGAGUUUGAGAGAGGAGCAAGAAGACAGUGUCGUGCUGGAAGAUUUGCUGGAGAAUAUGGAGACUGACACCUUUGUGACCCUGUACGGCCAGGAGCUGAGACUGGCGUCGUACCUGUCAAAGCUGACGAUGCUGCCGGGGGGCACGCUGCGCCGGCUUCUGACCGUGGCUCUGCCUGCAGCCUCGCAGGCCGAGCUGCUGGCCGUGCUGGACUCCGUGGGCCAGAAGCAUCAAGACCAUGCGGUGGAGAACGAUGGCAGUGGAGUGCAGGCUGAUCUGCGCAGGAGAGGGAAACACCAGGGCUGGUGGCAAGCCUUAGAGAGCAAACUUCGAGGAGAACUGAUAAACAGAGGAUUAGAGAAGAUGCUCUGGGCCCAGAAGAGGAAGGAGAGCAUAUUAAAGAAGACACGUCCCCCUCUCAGAGAAAGAGUGAUAUUCUCUGGAAAAGGAAGUUGGCCACACCUGUCCCUGGAGUCCAUUGACGAACUGACCCCAGUGUCCAUUGUAGGGGCAGAAGCCGUUGAUUUAUUAAACACGGGUGAAAAGCUCUUUAUCUUCAGAAAUCCAAAGGAGCCCGAGAUCUCACUGCACAUUCCUCCCAGGAAGAAGAAGAAGAACUUUCUGAAUGCCAAGAAGGCUGCAUGGGCCUUGGGCAUGAACUAGCCAAAAGGAAGGUUUCUAGAGUCUGAAGACACAAAGAUUUGUUUUCUCCUGCCCAUCUGCAUGUGUGUGUUUAUUAUGUACAACUCGCAGGUAUCGAUUGUACAUGAAGACUGACACAUCUCUAACCCUCCCCCUCUCCCAUCAUGACUUUCGAGGACUCAGUUCAGUCUAGUCCCGUGAAUUCCCAGGUGGCCCAUUGCCUUUAGCAUCACAGGGGGCAUGAAGAGACAGGGGACCACCCCAUGAACCCUCACUGCUUUCAGUCCCAGCUCACCGAGGAUCUGGGGGAGACCCUCCCCCCAGCCCCCAGUUCACAUCCCCGAAACACCUGACUGAAUUGUGGGCUGUGUGUCAAAGGGCAAGGCUCUCAGUUCUUGCAUUGUGUUUGUUACAUAUUCUAUCUUUAUCAAGGGAACUUUUGAUUAAUAAAUGCGUUUUAGAUAAAGCUACUCUCAAGGGAGAUUCAUUUUUGAUCUCUGUAGGAAACAUUUAUUUACUUAUUUUUGAUGUUUGUUUUAUUUUUUAACUUUUUAUUUUGUAUUGGAAUAUAGGAGGACAUGGCAACCCACUCCAGUAUUCUUGCCUGGAGAAUUCCAUGGACAGAGGAGCCUUGUGAGCUACAUACUGUCCAUGGGGUUGCAAAAAAUCAGACACAACUGAAGCGACUUAGCAUGCAUGCAUAGUCAACUAUGAAGAAAGACAUGGCAAUCCACCCCAGUAUUCUUGCCUGGAAAAUCCCAUGGACAGAGGAGUCUGGUGGGCUACAGUCUGUGGGGUCACAAAUGAGUUGGACAUGACUUAUCAACUCAACAAGAAAUAGCCAAUUUACAAUGUUGUGAUGGUUUCAGAUGGACAGCAAAGGGACUCAGCCAUACCUGUACGUGUAUCCAUUCUCCCCCAAACUCCGCUCCCAUCCAGGCUGUCACAUGACGUUGAGCAGAGUUCCCUGGGCUACACAGUAGGUCCUUGUUGGGUAUCCAUCUUAAAUAUAGCCGUGUGUGCAUGUCGAUCCCAAACUUCCUAACUAUCCCUUCCCCUUGUCCUUCCCUGCUGCAACCAUAAGUUCGUUUGUUGCUUUCUGUAGGAACCAUUUAUGUUUAGUCCCUUCUUGGGUUUUGGCCCUAUAUUGUGAUGUUCAAUGGAGAUUUGCCCUUCAUCAUUCCAGGUGCCUGAAGAGGUGCCAGCCACUGGGCUGCACCAUCUCCAACUCAAAUCAGGAAACCCAGAGGCUUGAGGUCAUAAAGCCAAUAAGUAACUAAGUCAGGAUUCACUGAAGACUUCACGGCCCCAAACUCUCAUCCCUUCUCCUGGACUCGGUAAAGACAGGGACCCUUCCAGAAGAGCUGCACCUGCCACAAUAUAUGGAAGGCUAUCCAUGAGAGGCUGCCAUGAGAGCCAGACUUCAACAGUACGUGAACUGUGAACUUCCAGAUGUUCAAGCUGGAUUUAGAAAAGGCAGAGGAACUGGAGAUCAAAUUGCCAACAUAAGUCUGAUCAUUGAGCAAGAGAGUUCCAGAAAAACAUCUGUUUUAUUGACUAUGCCAAAGCCUUUGACUGUGUGGAUCACAACAAACUGUGGAAAAUUCUUCAAGAGAUGGGAAUACCAGACCUCCUGACCUGCCUCCUGAGAAAUCUGUAUGCAGGUCAAGAAGCAACGUUAGAACUGGACAUGGAACAACAGACUGGUUCCAAAUUGGGAAAGGAGUACGUCAAGACUGUUUUUUCACCCUGCUUAUUUAACUUAUAUGCAGAGUACAUCUGGUGGAGGCAAUGGCACCCCACUCCAGUCCUCUUGCCUGGAAAAUCCCAUGGACGGAGGAGCCUGGUGGGCUACAGUCCAUGGGGUCUUGAAGAGUCGGACACAACUGAGUGCCCUCACUUUUACUUUUCACUUUCAUGCAUGGGAGAAGGAAAUGGCAACCCACUGCAGUAUUCUUGCCUGGCAAAUUUCAUGGACAGAGGAGCCUAGUGGGCUACAAUCCAUGGGAUCACAGAGAGUCAGACAUGACUGAACAUGCACACACACACAUGAAAGCCUUGCUGUGGGAAUUUGGGAGUGAGAUCCAACCUGACGGGAUAUUUGGGAACAGCUUGGAGCUUGUGACUCCAAAUCUUUACCUCCAGACUGGACUUCUUCUUGGGCUCCAGACCCUUUUGUCACAGGUGCCUGUCCAACCCUGAACCCGCUGGUUUCCUAGAAAACCUGUUCCACUACAGAGGUCCCCUCUCUGAGUGGAUGGGACCACGCCAGAAACUUGCAAGUCAUCCUAGACAUCUCCCUGUUUCUCAGUCCCCCAAAUAUGAUGACCAGAUCUUGCUGAUUGUACUGCUGCCUUAGCACAGUGGUAUAACCUGUGCCCUCCCUCUCCCCUCCAUCCCUGCUUGGGUCCUGUCUCUCCCAGAUGGUGCCAGCAGCCUCUCCUCUGGGUUGGCUGCAACCAGUCCGUUCUAUGGUAGCCAUAUCUAAGUCACUGCCUUGCCGAAAGACUUCCAAAAACUUUUCAUUACUUACAAGACCUCCAUGAAUUGUCCUCUUAUAGCCUUCCUAUCUGUGUCUAUAAGGGAAGUCUUUACUUUCCAAGGAGCCGUUGAGUGGUAAUGAGACACAAAGAAGAAAGUGAAUCUGGAUUUCCAUCCUGGAUCUGCCAUUUACUAUGUGGCUCUAAAGAAGCCACCUAACUUGUUUUCCUUUCUUGUAAUAGCUUUAUCUGGUUUUGGUAUUAAGGUAAUGCUGAUCUCAGAAUGAUUUAGGAAGUGUUUCCUCUGCUUGUACUAUCUGGAAGUGAUUAUGGAGAAUUGGAUCACUUCUUCCUUGAAUAAUAAUAAUCAUAUGGAAUAGUUUCCAGUGAGUCCAUCUGGAUCUAGUGCCUUCUGUUUUGGAAGGCAAGAAAUUAUUGAUUCAAGGACUUCAAUAGAUAUAAACCAGUUUAGAUAGUCUUUUACUUCUUGUGUGAGUUUUGGUACUGUGUGUCUAUCCAGAAAUUGAUCCAUUUCAUAUAAGUUAUCAAAUAUGCAGCAUAAAGUUUUGGAAAAUACUUGUUUGUCUUCCUUUUAAUAUACAUGAGAAUAGUUGUGAUGACCAUACUUUCAUUUCUGAUUCAUAAUAGCUUAUUCUUUUUCUGUCCCUUGAUUAACAUAACUACAUAUAUAGCAAUUUCACUGAUCUUCUUCAAGAACCAGAACUUAUAUAAGAGCCUCAUUUUCUUGAUCUUUUAUUGUCCUAUUUUUAAUUUCCUUGACUUAUGUUUAAAUUUUAGUAUUUCUGUUUUUCUAGUUUUUUUUUCUAUUUAAGCUUAAAUGGCAGUCUCUUCCAGCCCUCUAUGGUCCCCUCACCUCUAAUUUCUUCUUUUCCAGGAGAAACUUUUAGUUCUUUAGCUGUUUCUUGUGGCAUCAACUUUUAUAUUCUUAGGAACAUACUGCAACUUCUCAGUGCUGUAUUAUUGAGAAUAUAUAUUGACCUUCUAUUAUAGCAAAUGAGAAUUUAGCUCUCCUAGAUACACACACAUGUAAACACACAUACACAGGUAAACAUACACAUCCUUCCACUCCAGUUAUCUGAUGUAAUUAAAACACAAUUUUCACUAAAUAUUCAGCAUUUUUAUUAAUAGCAUUUCAUUUGAAGUUGAGCCAUGUAGUGAAUUUUAAUUACAUUUCCUUUUUCUGUGUAACUUUUUGUUUUCCCUAGAGUUAAUAAUUGGCUAGAAACUAUAGUUAUGGCUAAAAAUGACUCCUUAUCUUUUGGAGAAACAUAAUGAAAUAUUUAUGAAAGAACUUAUGUUAGAGAUUUGCUUCAAGAUAAUAUGGAAGGGCUUACUGGCCAUGGGGGAGUAACAGACUGAAUUUAAACUCCCAACUUCAACAACUAGAGAACUCAACAAAAUACAGGAGAGAACUAUUUUCAGACACUGGGCAACAGGCCGCAUGGGACUGCGAUAUUAGAAAGAAGGGAAGUAAAUGAAGGGGGCCCUAUGAUUGCCCCAGCUUCAUGCCAGAGGGAGUUUUAAGGCUGCAGAUCAGGGAGGGGAACCCAGGGCCCAGCAGUAUCCUGAGGUGAGGAGACAGAGAAUGGAAAUCAAGGAAGCUGAAGCAAGUGGGAUUUAUAAGGCAGAAUGUGGAGGGGAGACAUAGAGAGGGGGAGAGAAAGAGAGAGAGGGCAAGUUAGUAUCAACGGAAGGGCUCCCUUGAGUCUGUCUGAAUACUGAGCCCUGUGUACAUGAGGAGAAACUGUCAGCGGGGAGAACAAACCACCAGAAAAAGUAGUUUUCAAACAAUUCCCAAAGCUCACCAAGGACUGGGAAUAUUUUCCAUUCCCACUAGCCCGAGUGUGAUGCAUCGGCUGGUCUUCUGAUGGAUCUUGCUUCGGUAAUGGGAAUAAAUUAACUGCUCUGGGCCUAUCAUAGCAAAGCUUAAAAGCAAGUCUCAACAAAUCUAUAGAGACAGAGAGUAGAUUAAUAUUUGCCUGGAAUCAUAAGAGACGGGCAGGAGCAUGGGGAGUAUGGAGAGUGGUGGCUAUUGGGUACAUUUUGGGAUAGUGAGAAUUUUCUAAUGUGAUUUUCUAGCUGUGAUUGCAUAACUCUGUAAAUAUACUACAAACACAAGGAACUGUACACUUUCAGUGAAUGAACUUUAUGGUAUGUAAAUUUUAUCUUGUAAAGCCAUUAAAAAGAUUCAAAAAAUAAAGAAGAAAAGGAGCCUCAGACAAUUUAAACUGAUCCCAAGUGACUUAACAGCAUGACAAAACAAACCGCAAAGCCACUUAAAGGAAUGCAAGAUACUCCAGUGCCCAAUAAGCAUAAAGUCACCAGUGUCUGGCAUCCAAUUAAAAAUACCAGGCAUGCAAAGCAACAAGAAUGUAAGAUCCAUAAACAUGAAAAAACAAAACAAAACACCCAUCCAAUUGAAACUGUAUUAGAAAUGACAGAUAGGAAAAUAUUAGCAUAUGAGAACAUUAAAUCAGCUAUUAUACAUUCCCUGUAUGUUCAAAAUGAAGGAGAAAAUAUGAGCGUGAUGGGAGAAGUAGAAGAUAUAAAAGUGUUCUGGCAACUUUCGGAUUCAGAUCUGACAUGUAAAGUGCUUAGAAAUCAGAACUUCUCUCUCUCUCCAACAGGAAUAAAAGCUGAAAAAACUGAAAACCAAUGUCUUUUCUGGGGCCCCUCAGAAAACUGAAGUCACAGGACAAACUCCCACCCUGAAAUCUGAAGGGAUAGGCCAACUGAGAGAGCCCCAGCAAGACCCAAGACUUAGACAGAUUCUGUGUAAAGGGAUUGGUUUUGUUGUUCAGUCGCUCGGUCCUGUCUGACUCUUUGUGACCCCAUGGCCUGCAGCACGUCAGGCUUCCCUGUCCUUCACUAUCUCCCAAAGUUUGCUCAAACUCAUGUCCAUUGAGUCAGUGAUGCCAUUCAACCAUCUCCUCUGCUAUCCUCUUCUCCUCCUGCCCUGAAUCUUUCCCAGCAUCAGGAUCUUUUCCAAUGAGUCAGCUCUUCGCAUCAGGUGGCCAGAGUAUUGGAUCUUCAGCUUCAGCAUCAGUCCUUCCAGUGAAUAUUCAGAGUUGAUUUCCUUUAGGAAAAAGAUGGAGACAGAUAUUCCAUGCAUGUCAGCACUAAUCAAAGAAAGAAAGAAAGAAAAGAAAAGGCUGUAGUUAUACAAGGAAGCAAAUCAGACUUCAGAACAAAGGAAAUUAUCAUGGAUGAAGAAGAUAAUACAUAUUAAUAAAUGGGUCGGUUGUUCAGGAAAAUAAAGCAAUCCUAAAUAUGUAUGCACCUAACAAUAAAGUAUCAAAAUACAUGAGGCAAAAAGUGAUAGAGAAGGAGAAAUACUACAUCUAACAGCAGCUGCAUACACAUCCUUCUCAAGUUCACAUGCAAAAUUCACAAACAUAGACCACAUUCUGGGCCAUAAAACACAACUGAAAAAAAGUCCAAAAGAAAAGGAAUUAUACAAAGUAUGUUGUCAUAUCACAGUGUAACUAUACUAAAAAUCAAAAACAGAGAGAGGGCUGGAAAGCCUCAUAAGUAUUUGGUAUUUAAAAACACACUUCUAAAUAACACAUGGGUCAAAAAGAAGUCUCAAGGAAAAUUUUUAAAAUACUUUGGGUUGAACGAAAAUGAAAAUGCAACUUGAAAAAUGUAUGGAUGCAGCACAAACAGUAUGUAAGGGAAAAUGUAUACCAUUAAAUGCAUACAGUAGAAAAGACAAAAGAUCUGAAAUCAGUCAUCUAAGUUUCUCCAUUAUAAAGCUGGAGCAAGAAGAGCAUUGUAUGAGACAGAGCCUCAAAUUUGAGUUCAACCUUCAUUCUACUGAUUUUAUUCAUCUGUACAGCAAGGAUAUGAAAUAGUACCCAUCUCAUGGUUGUUGAAAUGAUGAAAAGAGAAAGUCAACUCCCAAUGAAGUAUGAAGUGUUAGUCACUCAGUUGUGUCUGAGUCUUUGUGACUCCAUGGACUGUACCUGGGCAGGCUUCUCUGUCCAUGGGAUUUUCCCAGGCAAGAAUACUGGAGUGGGUUUUCAUUCUCUUCUCCAAGGGAUCUUCCCAACUCAGGGACUGAACCCAGGUCUCCUGCAUUGCAUGCAAAUUCUUUACCAUCUGAGCCAUCAAGCCUUCUGAGCCAACUCCCAAUGCCCAGCACAUAUUAAGGGUCUAACAAAUGAUGACUGACUGUGUUGUUAUUGAUGUCUUUGUGGCAGUACAGCCUAAUAUAAACAUUCUAUAUUUCAUUCAGUUUUACUGUUGUUAUUCAGUUGUUUAGUGGUGUUGAUGAAUAGUUAGGAGAGCUUUAACAAAUAUAAAUAAGUAAAAAAAAAUGCAGACUUAUGGGAGAUAACAGUGUUUAGCAUUUAAUCAAUGUCUGUUCAGUAAAGGAAUUAGUGAAACAGGAAAGAAGGAAAUGAAGGAGGGAGGGAGA